rnacentral:rRNA from 1 species
AGAGUUUGAUCCUGGCUCAGAUUGAACGCUGGCGGCAGGCCUAACACAUGCAAGUCGAGCGGAUGAAGAGAGCUUGCUCUCUGAUUCAGCGGCGGACGGGUGAGUAAUGCCUAGGAAUCUGCCUAUUAGUGGGGGACAACGUUUCGAAAGGAACGCUAAUACCGCAUACGUCCUACGGGAGAAAGCAGGGGACCUUCGGGCCUUGCGCUAAUAGAUGAGCCUAGGUCGGAUUAGCUAGUUGGUGAGGUAAUGGCUCACCAAGGCGACGAUCCGUAACUGGUCUGAGAGGAUGAUCAGUCACACUGGAACUGAGACACGGUCCAGACUCCUACGGGAGGCAGCAGUGGGGAAUAUUGGACAAUGGGCGAAAGCCUGAUCCAGCCAUGCCGCGUGUGUGAAGAAGGUCUUCGGAUUGUAAAGCACUUUAAGUUGGGAGGAAGGGCAUUAACCUAAUACGUUAGUGUUUUGACGUUACCGACAGAAUAAGCACCGGCUAACUUCGUGCCAGCAGCCGCGGUAAUACGAAGGGUGCAAGCGUUAAUCGGAAUUACUGGGCGUAAAGCGCGCGUAGGUGGUUUGUUAAGUUGGAUGUGAAAGCCCCGGGCUCAACCUGGGAACUGCAUCCAAAACUGGCAAGCUAGAGUAUGGCAGAGGGUGGUGGAAUUUCCUGUGUAGCGGUGAAAUGCGUAGAUAUAGGAAGGAACACCAGUGGCGAAGGCGACCACCUGGGCUAAUACUGACACUGAGGUGCGAAAGCGUGGGGAGCAAACAGGAUUAGAUACCCUGGUAGUCCACGCCGUAAACGAUGUCGACUAGCCGUUGGGAUCCUUGAGAUCUUAGUGGCGCAGC